AGGAAAUACAAUGACACGAGUUCCUCCUACUGUUUCUACAAGGAAGAGGAAGGCUGAGCAAACUUUAACUUUGGAAAGUAAACGAGGCAAAACACGAGGGCGAGGCCAGAGGCAAGAGGUUGGGGGUGAGGAGGAUGUGGUGGUUGAGCAACAUCGUGAGCAAAUGAAACGAGUUCCUCCUACCGUUUCUGCAAGGAAGAGGAAUGCUGACCAAACUUUAACUUUGGAAAGGAAACGAGGAAAAAGUCGAGGAUAAGGACAGAGGCAAGAGGUUGAGGUACAUCCGGAGGUAGAGGAGGAUGUCGAGGUUGAGCAACAUGCUCAGGUAGAGAACGAUGUAGAGGUUGAGAUACAUUCGGAGGUACAGGAGGAUGAGCCACAUGCUGUUCUACGGGAGGAUGAGCCACAUGAUAAUGUAGGGGAAGAUGAGCCACAUGUUGAAAUUUGUGAGGAUGAGCCACAUGUUGAUGUAUGGGAGAAUGAGCAUGAGUCCGUUCAACAAGAGGACGAGGAAACGACACAAGCCAGAGGACGGGGGAGAGGACGAGAGAGAGGGCGUCAGGCGAGGCAAGAGGAGGU